AUUGAACGCUGGCGGCAGGCUUAACACAUGCAAGUCGAGCGGGGUGAUGGUGCUUGCACUAUCACUUAGCGGCGGACGGGUGAGUAAUGCUUAGGAAUCUGCCUAUUAGUGGGGGACAACAUCUCGACAGGGAUGCUAAUACCGCAUACGUCCUACGCGAGAAAGCAGGGGAUCACUUGUGACCUUGCGCUAAUAGAUGAGCCUAAGUCGGAUUAGCUAGUUGGUGGGGUAAAGGCCUACCAAGGCGACGAUCUGUAGCGGGUCUGAGAGGAUGAUCCGCCACACUGGGACGGAGACACGGCCCAGACUCCUACGGGAGGCAGCAGUGGGGAAUAUUGGACAAUGGGGGGAACCCUGAUCCAGCCAUGCCGCGUGUGUGAAGAAGGCCUUAUGGUUGUAAAGCACUUUAAGCGAGGAGGAGGCUCUUUUGGUUAAUACCCAAGAUGAGUGGACGUUACUCGCAGAAUAAGCACCGGCUAACUCUGUGCCAGCCGCCGCCGUAA
rnacentral:rRNA from 1 species